rnacentral:rRNA from 1 species
UACGUAGGGUGCAAGCGUUGUCCGGAAUUAUUGGGCGUAAAGAGCUCGUAGGCGGCUUGUCGCGUCGUCCGUGAAAACCUGCGGCUCAACUGCAGGCUGGCGGUCGAUACGGGCAGGCUGGAGUUCGGUAGGGGAGACUGGAAUUCCUGGUGUAGCGGUGAAAUGCGUAGAUAUCGGGAGGAACACCAGUGGCGAAGGCGACUACCUGGCCUGUUCUUGACGCUGAGGCGCGAAAGCUAGGGAGCAAACGGG